rnacentral:rRNA from 1 species
CCUGAUGACCAUAGCGAGUCGGUCCCACCCCUUCCCAUCCCGAACAGGACCGUGAAACGACUCUACGCCGAUGAUAGUGCGGAUUAAUGGGCGUGUCGGGC